CCCCAAUUUCACAGCUUGGAGGCGGAGGCUGGAAGAGCUGACCAGCCCCAAAGCUAGUCAGUGAAGGCAUCUCGCUCCCUUCUACAAAGGGAGAGCCCAGAUGCCUAGGACCCGGCCUCCACCGCUACCCCCAGCUCCCAUGUCCUGGGCUCCUCACGACCCGCUGGAGCAUCCCAGAACCUCUCCAGAGAAUGGCCCUGCUCCAGGGCUGUGAGCUGCCCUCCUCCGCCACCUGGGCAUCCCAGACCCCACCAAGGGCCACACAGCACCGUGCAGACAACAGGAGGGAAGGGGGCCAACUGAGCCUCCCUGCCCCAGAAUAGACUUUGAAGAGUUCUGGGGAGAAGAGAAGGCCCAGGGGACAAGCCAUCUCAGUCUCUCCUUCCUGUGACACUUACGUAAAAGAGCCCUGUCUGCUUCUUUGACUGAGUGCACACAUCCAGGUUUAUAAUAAAAGCAUCUCUUUAUGAAGAUGGAGG
rnacentral:lncRNA from 1 species